rnacentral:rRNA from 1 species
CGGCCAGAGACCGAUAGCGCACAAGUAGAGUGAUCGAAAGAUGAAAAGCACUUUGAAAAGAGGGUUAAACAGCACGUGAAAUUGUUAAAAGGGAAGCGCUUGUGACCAGACUUGCGUCCGGUGAAUCACCCAGCUCUCGCGGCUGGGGCACUUCGCCGGCUCAGGCCAGCAUCAGCUCGCUGUCGGGGACAAAAGCUUCAGGAACGUAGCUCUCUUCGGGGAGUGUUAUAGCCUGCUGCAUAAUACCCUUCGGCGGGCUGAGGUACGCGCUCCGCAAGGAUGCUGGCAUAAUGGUCAUCAGCGACCCGUCUUGAAACACGGACGA